rnacentral:lncRNA from 1 species
GCGAGCAGAUUGUUUCCGUACCGUCAAAAAAGAAAAAGAAAACACCAGCUACCUUUCUGAAUCUAUUGUAUCCAAGGCCUUUGCAAUGUUGGGAACAUAAUGAGCAGAUGUGGGGAGUCCUGAAAGACUGGUUACAUACAGAGACCAUCUGGCAUCCAGAGAAGGCUACUGCUUCAUCAAGCAGUCUCCACCCUGCUAACCUCCAGUCACAAAUGCUGGAAUUUGCUUUAUAAGACAAUAGGAAAAAAGACUGAAGCCAAAAUACAAGGACUCUACUCAAGCCUUCUGGAAAGGACUGUGUGGCCUUUGAUGCACGGAGCAAAGAAUUCUUAGAUUUCCCUGCCAGCCCUGAAACUGGACCUGUGAUGUCAAGUUGGGUUUUGUUGUUGUUUGUUUUAACCUGCCAUGGGAUGGGUUGACAGGAUCAACCAUUUUACACCAUGAUCCCUUGUCCCUGGGAGGACUGUCUGAGACAUUAGAGAAAUGGGAUACAGACUCCCUCGCUGGGCUGGGGGAGCUGGCUCAGGUGCAGAGUACUUGCCACGAUAUGAAGAUCCACUUUUAAAAUAAAUCAAAUAGUCAAGCA